UACGGAGGAUCCGAGCGUUAUCCGGAUUUAUUGGGUUUAAAGGGUGCGUAGGCGGCCUAUUAAGUCAGGGGUGAAAGACGGUAGCUUAACUAUCGCAGUGCCUUUGAUACUGAUAGGCUUGAAUAUACUUGAGGUAGGCGGAAUGUGACAAGUAGCGGUGAAAUGCAUAGAGAUCCGGAGGAACACCGAAGGCGAAGGCAGUGUCCUGGCGCGUAACUGACGCUGAGGUGCGAAAGCCAGGGGAGCGAACGGG
rnacentral:rRNA from 1 species